rnacentral:rRNA from 1 species
CAUUGGGACUGAGACACGGCCCAAACUCCUACGGGAGGCAGCAGUAGGGAAUCUUCCACAAUGGACGAAAGUCUGAUGGAGCAACGCCGCGUGAGUGAUGAAGGGUUUCGGCUCGUAAAACUCUGUUGUUGGAGAAGAACAGGUGUCAGAGUAACUGUUGACAUCUUGACGGUAUCCAACCAGAAAGCCACGGCUAACUACGUGCCAGCAGCCGCGGUAAUACGUAGGUGGCAAGCGUUGUCCGGAUUUAUUGGGCGUAAAGCGAGCGCAGGCGGUUUUUUAGGUCUGAUGUGAAAGCCUUCGGCUUAACCGGAGAAGUGCAUCGGAAACCGGGAGACUUGAGUGCAGAAGAGGACAGUGGAACUCCAUGUGUAGCGGUGAAAUGCGUAGAUAUAUGGAAGAACACCAGUGGCGAAGGCGGCUGUCUGGUCUGUAACUGACGCUGAGGCUCGAAAGCAUGGGUAGCGAACAGGAUUAGAUACCCUAGUAGUCCAUGCCGUAAACGAUGA